CAAACAGCAAAUCAUAACAACUCAUACAGUUGCCCAAAAUACCACCAUCUGCGAAAAAAACAGCUUUUAAGCAUUUCUUCCUAUUUAAACAUUGUAUGUUGUCAAUAUAAGAUUUAUUCAACAAAUUCUUAAGAAAUUGAAAAAUUUAAAGUAAAAAAAUAUGUGCGCAAAUUAUACUAUUGCUUGAAAUAAAGGGGGCGAAACUAAGAAAUUGCAAUCUGCAUUUUAACUACCAG
rnacentral:lncRNA from 1 species